rnacentral:tRNA from 1 species
AAAAAUUUAGUUAAAAAAUAACAUUAGCUUGUCAAGCUAAAAUUAUUAAUCAAAAUAAAUUAAUAAUUUUUA